AAUCUUCAUUUGCAGUUGCCUUUUCAUUUUCUCAUUAUUUUCCUGCAUACAUAUGGUGUGAAAUGAUAACAAGAUUUUUCUUUCUCAUUUUCUGUUUUUAUUAAAUGGAAACGCAUGCCUGUUUUUUGAAUGUUGUGUGAGGUAAUUUCAAUCUGGUGAAAUUUUUCCAUGAACCCAGCUUUUUAAAAAAUAAAAAUUCUUUUUUUAUUACUGCCAAAGAGGAUUCUGCUCUGGCUUAACCAGCAAAAUAGAGGCAUGUGUUUUAGUUUAAUCAUUUUCAUUAUCCACUAAAGGAUAAGUUGUGCAAUGUGAUGAAUAAGACUUUUCUUUCUCAAUGUGGAGAGGAAAGAAAGUUUAAACUUUUUAUUUUAUUUGCAUGAUUUGAUGGAGGAUUUAACUUGAAAAACUGUGAUUGAAGAAAACCUUGAAGAUUGCAGAGCUUUAGUGUUUUUGAUGGGAUUUAGGGUUAGGGAUGGAAGUCUGAGAAAUUAGGUUUAUUAGGGAUGUGUUUUUAGAAUAAUUAGGGUGUAGAAAUAAAAAAUGAAUGGUAAUCCAAAUUACUAUAGCAAUAAGAAAAGAGGAGAAAACUUCAGAGCCUUCAAACUGAAUGCAUAUUAUUUAUAAUAAAUUUCAACAUCAAAACUAUACAGAAAGUUACAUUAAAAUAAUUUUCCAAGCAAACCGUAAUUCCAGAAUGGUAUUAAGAUUCCGAAGAAGACAAAUUUCUUAAUAGACUGGGGUCUCAAUCUAAAACUAUAAAGAAAAUUACAUUAAAAUUAUUUAUUGAUUUCUUUUUUCCUUGGCUGCUACGUGUUGAAUAAGGCUGCUGUAUCCAAAUAACAGGGGGUUGGCAUGUGGUUCAUGAAGCUUUAAACUCUUAAUCUCUCUGCACAGUGAUAGUGAUCAUGAUCUGCCACGCACAAGAGGCCUUGUUUAGCUUUAUUGCCUAAUGUUUGUGUUAUGUGCUUUAAAGUAGCAAUACCCACAACUUUUUAGCUUCGUCCAGUGGCAUGGAAAUUUCUGAAUAGGCUGUCCAGUGUUUUUGGUGAAAAAUGGGUGGUGCCAAGCAGAAUGAGGGAUAUCCGCACACAUUUUCUUGGCUUUGAGAGAGGGAAGUAUAGUAAUAUCUUUUGGCAUGUGAUAUCUUUGCAGUGAUUUGGAGUAUUUUGAGCAGAAUGGAACUUUUGAAUCUUCUAGUUUACUACCUUUGCAAGCAGUU